GGAUCGGCUGUAUGAUUAGGCCACAAUCUUCAAUGAGUAGACAUAUUCCUUUCUGUGGUGUUCUCGGUCACACAUUUAUGGAGUUUCUGAAGGGCAGUGGAGACUACUGCCAGGCACAGCACGACCUCUAUGCAGACAAGUGAACUGUAGAAAUUCAUUACUACUCCACCAAGAAGCCCCCAUAAGAGUGGAUAGCCUGGACACAGUCGUGUUGAAUUGAAAUCUGCAGAGCAUUUUCCAAGAGCUCAGACCUGGAUGGGGUAAACCUCAGUGCACUUCCUUUGUAUCGCCUCAGUAUUCCUGGAUUGAAGAGUCACUGCUUCUUGUGAGGAGGUUCAUUUCAUUGCCCGUUUCUCCCGACUCAUACUCAAAGCACUGAGAAUUUCAAGUGGAGUAUAUUGAAUAUUGAAGUAGACUUCAGGUUGUUUUUUGGUUUUGUUUUGGUUUUUUGUUUUGUUUUGUUUUGUUUUGUUUUGGUUUUCAGUUUUUGUUUGGAAUCAUUUCUGUAUUCAAUUUUUUAAUUCUUUCAUAACCCUAUUGGGUGUUUUUUUAAACUAAAUUAACAUGGCUCGAAUGAACCG
rnacentral:lncRNA from 1 species